ACGCGCCUACCAUGGUCGUAACGGGUAACGGGGAAUCAGGGUUCGAUUCCGGAGAGGGAGCCUGAGAAACGGCUACCACAUCCAAGGAAGGCAGCAGGCGCGCAAAUUACCCACUCCCAGAACGGGGAGGUAGUGACGAAAAAUAACAAUACGGGACUCUUUUGAGACCCCGUAAUUGGAAUGAGUACACUCUAAAUCCUUUAACGAGGAUCCAUUGGAGGGCAAGUCUAGUGCCAGCAGCCGCGGUAAUUCUAGCUCCAAUAGCGUAUAUUAAAGUUGUUGCGGUUAAAAAGCUCGUAGUUGGAUCUCAGUUCCAGACGGGCGGUCCACUUACCGGUGGUUACUGCUUGUUCUGAACAGCCAGCCGGUUUCUCUUGAUGAUCUUCACCGGUUGUCUUGAGUGACCGGCAAGUUUACUUUGAAAAAAUUAGAGUGCUCAAAGCAGGCGCGACGCCUGAAUAAUGGUGCAUGGAAUAAUGGAAUAGGACCUCGGUUCUAUUUUGUUGGUUUUCGGAACACGAGGUAAUGAUUUAGAGGGACAGACGGGGGCAUUCGUAUUGCGACGCUAGAGGUGAAAUUCUUGGACCGUCGCAAGACGAACUACUGCGAAAGCAUUUGCCAAGAAUGUUUCCAUUAAUCAAGAACGAAAGUUAGAGGUUCGAAGGCGAUCAGAUACCGCCCUAGUUCUAACCAUAAACGAUGCCAGCCAGCGAUCCGGCUGUGUUCCUCAAAUGACACGCCGGGCAGCUUCCGGGAAACCAAAGCUUUUGGGUUCCGGGGGAAGUAUGGUUGCAAAGCUGAAACUUAAAGGAAUUGACGGAAGGGCACCACCAGGAAUGGAGCCUGCGGCUUAAUUUGACUCAACACGGGGAAACUUACCCGGCCCGGACACAGGAAGGAUUGACAGAUUAAGAGCUCUUUCUUGAUUCUGUGGGUGGUGGUGCAUGGCCGUUCUUAGUUGGUGGAGCGAUUUGUCUGGUUAAUUCCGAUAACGAACGAGACUCUAGCCUACUAAAUAGACGUCCCGGUCACUUUGCCGGGCGUUCUUCUUAGAGGGACAAGUGGCUCUUAGCCGCACGAGACAGAGCAAUAACAGGUCUGUGAUGCCCUUAGAUGUCCGGGGCCGCACGCGCGCUACAUUGAAGGAAUCAGCGUGUGCUUUCCCUGUCCGACAGGACUGGGUAACCCGUUGAACCUCCUUCGUGCUGGGGAUAGGAAAUUGUAAUUGUUUUCCUUGAACGAGGAAUUCCCAGUAAGCACGAGUCAUCAGCUCGUGUUGAUUACGUCCCUGCCCUUUGUACACACCGCCCGUCGCUACUACCGAUUGAAUGAUUUAGUGAGGUCUUCAGACUGGCGCUCGCAGCGGCUCUCGGGUCGCGGCGGCGUGCCGGAAAGAUGACCAAACUUGAUCAUUUAGAGGAAGUAAA
rnacentral:rRNA from 1 species